rnacentral:rRNA from 1 species
UACGUAGGGUGCGAGCGUUAAUCGGAAUUAUUGGGCGUAAAGCGUGCGCAGGCGGCUAUUUAAGCUUGCUGUGAAAGCCCCGGGCUUAACCUGGGAAUGGCAGUGAGGACUGGAUGGCUGGAGUGUGGCAGAGGGGGGGUGGAAUUCCAGCGUGUAGCAGUGAAAUGCGUAGAGAUGUGGAGGAACACCGAUGGCGGAAGGCAGCCCCCUGGGCUAACACUGACGCCUCAGGCACGAAAGCGUGGGGAGCAAACAGG